rnacentral:rRNA from 1 species
GACGAACGCUGGCGGCGUGCCUAACACAUGCAAGUCGAACGAGGUCCAUGCAGUGGCAACACUGCGGAAGACCUAGUGGCGAACGGGUGAGUAACACGUGAGGAACCUGCCCCGAAGACCGGGAUAACCCUCCGAAAGGAGGGCUAAUACCGGAUACCCCCACCAGAUCGCAUGAUCUGGUGAGGAACUGGAUUCCGCUUCGGGAGGGCCUCGCGGCCUAUCAGCUAGUUGGUGGGGUAACGGCCUACCAAGGCAUCGACGGGUAGCUGGUCUGAGAGGACGAUCAGCCACGCUGGGACUGAGACACGGCCCAGACUCCUACGGGAGGCAGCAGUGGGGAAUCUUGCGCAAUGGGCGAAAGCCUGACGCAGCAACGCCGCGUGGGGGAUGAAGGCUCUCGGGUUGUAAACCCCUUUCAGCAGGGACGAAUCAAGACGGUACCUGCAGAAGAAGCCCCGGCUAACUACGUGCCAGCCGCCGCCGUAACAC